AUACGAAGGGUGCAAGCGUUACUCGGAAUUACUGGGCGUAAAGCGUGCGUAGGCGGUUGUUUAAGUCUGUCGUGAAAGCCCUGGGCUCAACCUGGGAAUGGCGAUGGAAACUGGGCGACUAGAGUGUGGCAGAGGGUAGUGGAAUUCCUGGUGUAGCGGUGAAAUGCGUAGAGAUCAGGAGGAACAUCCGUGGCGAAGGCGAGUGCCUGGGCCAACACUGACGCUGAGGCACGAAAGCGUGGGGAGCAAACAGGAUUAGAUACCCUGGUAGUCCACGCUCUAAACGAUGCGAACUGGAUGUUGGGUGUAAUUUGGCCCGCAGUAUCGAAGCUAACGCGUUAAGUUCGCCGCCUGGGGAGUACGGUCGCAAGACUGAAACUCAAAUGAAUUGACGGGG
rnacentral:rRNA from 1 species